AAAUUGAAGAGUUUGAUCAUGGCUCAGAUUGAACGCUGGCGGCAGGCCUAACACAUGCAAGUCGAACGGUAACAGGAAGCAGCUUGCUGCUUUGCUGACGAGUGGCGGACGGGUGAGUAAUGUCUGGGAAACUGCCUGAUGGAGGGGGAUAACUACUGGAAACGGUGGCUAAUACCGCAUAACGUCGCAAGACCAAAGAGGGGGACCUUCGGGCCUCUUGCCAUCAGAUGUGCCCAGAUGGGAUUAGCUUGUUGGUGAGGUAACGGCUCACCAAGGCGACGAUCCCUAGCUGGUCUGAGAGGAUGACCAGCCACACUGGAACUGAGACACGGUCCAGACUCCUACGGGAGGCAGCAGUGGGGAAUAUUGCACAAUGGGCGCAAGCCUGAUGCAGCCAUGCCGCGUGUAUGAAGAAGGCCUUCGGGUUGUAAAGUACUUUCAGCGGGGAGGAAGGUGUUGUGGUUAAUAACCGCAGCAAUUGACGUUACCCGCAGAAGAAGCACCGGCUAA
rnacentral:rRNA from 1 species